rnacentral:tRNA from 1 species
UCCCUGGUGAUCCAGUGGCUAAGACUCCACACUCCUAAUGUAGGGGGCCCAGGUUCAAGUCCUGGUCAAGGAG